rnacentral:tRNA from 1 species
AUUUAAAUAGCUUAAUUAGAGCAAAGUUUUGAAGAAGCUUGGGUGAUUGUUUAAUCUUUAAAUG